UGUAAUCUGUUUUAUUCACAGAGGUGAUUUGUUUGAAUAUUAGAAUUUAAUUCUGGCACCAAAAGUCCCACUAACAUUAGUGUUAGAUUUUGAUGCUUUAAUAGUAUAUGUGGAGGCAGGAACAUAUAUACCCACAUAUUAGUCUCCUGUGUAUAAUGGACAUAAUUUUAAAAUGGGGUUGGUGAUUUCAGGUGCCUUGGUUUUCUUGAUGCCCAGUUUGAUAUACCUUACAGUUUCCUAAUUUUAAAAUGACCGAUAUUUAGUACAUUUGAAAAUCAACCUAUCUUAAAGUAAGUCAAGAAGGGUGCAAAAAUCACUAGAUCCUUUUGAAACUGGCCAAUAUGUGCACACAUAAUGUGCAUGUUUGUGUAAGUAUGGGUACAUAUUAAGUGUUUUGCCUGGAUAAGGACAUCAGGAUCAGAUUUUACCAGUCACAAAGGUGAUACUGAUUUUACCAGUAUCACAAAGGUGAUACUGUAGUGCUUAUCAGUCAAACCACAAAGGUAAUAUUGCUUACCUGUAACCACAAUUUACUUCCUGUGAAGGGUACACAGGCUCCUGUAUUUAAGAAUCAUAGAUAAUUGAUGUGAAAGAUGCAAUAUUCCACGUUGCUCAUCCACAUCUGGAAGAAGAUUGUGUGUUUAGUAUAUGGCAGAUAGUGGGUCUGAAGCUGAGUCUUUUAUAAGUCAAAUGUAAACUGCCAUUAGAUGCAAGACCAUCCUUGUUCUGUGGAACAAGCAUUGACCACAGUCAUGUCUUUGAGGGUGAGAGAGGAUGUAUAUGUGAAUCAUGCUGCAUACAUUUUGCUGUGGUAAAGAUUAAUGAGUUCAAGGUAAUUAAUUAGCUCCAGUUUACAGGCAUGAGGCCUGGCCCAUGCAUUAUGUAGUCUCAAAUUUAGGAUGAGGUGUUUUUUUUUUUUGUUCUCAAUGCAAACUUGUUGAUGACAUCAGUUUCAGGCCUGCUGCCAAUAACCAACAAAGAUAGAGUUGGAGUGGAAAUUAUUGAGGUAGUUGUCAGUUCUAUAAAACAGUUUUGAAUUGAAACCUGAAAUUAUAUAUAAUGAGGCAUUCCUAUAAACAGGGUUGCCUUAGGUGAGUAACAUUUUGGACGGUAUGAUGGAAGUUCUGCAAUUGUAGGGGAAUAAUAUUAAGUCUCAUGAGGCAGAUUACAAAUGAAGGAAUGCUGAUGCAUAUAUACAAAUAUAUAUAUGUGAAUUUAGUGCUUGUGAAAGGCAAUUGAUAGACAGUUCUGGAAACUGAAGGUCUCUAUCCCCUAGAAAGGUGUAACAGAUAGCAACAAUGCAAAAUUGUGUGCACUGCAUUGUCACUGGGACCUCAACAUUUCUCUGUAGAGAGCUCCUCGAGGAAUAAGAUGACACAGUCUACCCCAGGGGUCAGCAGUGUUUUUGGGCAGAGUGCCCCAAAACACCUGCAGGAUUGACUUGUAAGAUCUUGGCGUGCCAGGGGCAGAUGGCAGGGGAGCUGUGAGGUGCCUGAUUCUUGUCAUGGCAGCACAGCCCCCGCCCCUUCCCCACCAUCUGCCCCAUGGCGCACAUGCCAAGCAAAAUGCCUUUGCAUGCUACGCUCUGGCACCUGUUCCAGGGGUUGCUUACUCCUGGCCUACCCAUUCAGGUCCUGAUCCAGUAAAACACUUAUGCAUAUGCUUUUAUAGAAGCAUGAGUAGAAGGAUUGCUCACUAGAAGUUUAACACAUUUGAGUGAUGUGUUGGGUAGAGGACUUAAUUCUUGAAUUUUCUGUUGAUACUGCUAAUGAGAGAACUGAUUUUUGUGGUUUCUGUUAUUUGAUGUCUUUUCUGUACCAGGAACCAUAAUGAGACCACCAUCUCAUUUCACACAGGUCACCAAGAAGCCUCAGAUGAUAGAGAUAUGCGAUACGCUUUAAUGAGGCAGAAGAAGGUGCGGGGAGGAGGAGGAGAACAAAGUCUUGCACUUUGCAAGCAAGAAUGUUCCCUGUUUAUCACUCAAACCCUGGUGCUUUGGAUUGGUAGAGGAAGUGGCUUCUACUUGGAAGCUCUUCAUGCCAUUCACAGCAAGGGUUGCAUAAUCUCCCACAUGCAGGUGACACCCAGCUUUAUGGAUCCAACUCUUCCCUAGUCAGAUCAGGUCCCAUAUUUGAUGUCCUGUUGAAGAGCAAAUGAAGCAUUUUGAUGCUAUUUUUUGCAGCAUAGAAAUCUAUGGUGAUCGUGAGACGGGUACACUCAACCAGACCCUAUUUGAAAAUUAUUUGCAGCACUGCUAACAACAAAGUACAUAUUUCCCCCCCGCCCCAAAAGAAUCCAGCUUAUCAUGAAAUGUUUAUCAAAGCCACGUAAACAUUGUCAACUGCUGAAUUUUGAAGAGAAAUGCUUGCAAAACAAAAUGUAUUGCAAAACAAAACUCUUUACAGUUAAAAAAAAUUAGCUUGGUUACAGCCCUACUUGUUACCAACCAUGCCAACAUCUGGCAAGGAUACGGAGAUCUGGAAAUUCAUUGCUUGAAGCUAUGGAACAGAGUGUUCUGAUCCGACCUCAGUAAGCAGAGUCCAGGACUUGAACUGGAAUCUUCAGAAGCAGAAGUCUUUAAAUGUCUGGAAAAUUGGCCCGUUGAGUCACCACGCAGGCACUAAAACAAAACUAAUUUUAGGCAGGUCAGAGUUCAGUGAUUCCCUCUGGAACCUAAAACUUUUUCCCCCCUCCUUAAAAAAAAAUAAUCUUGUGUUUUAAGUGAAAAAGGGUCAAAGUUGAUGCACUGUUACAAUUUUUGAAUGCUUUCCCUUAAGAACAGCCACCCAGGCUAGGAUUAUCAUGAAGGGCUGCUAGGCUGGCACUUCAGUGUCUGGGAUAAAAAUAUUUUAAAGCAGUAAAUGCAGUCAGUACAGAAGGAGAAAGAUCCCUGAGAGCCUUCUUCAAGAGUGUGUGAGCUCAGGGCAGCAACUGCAAUGUAAUUUAGGGCAGCAUAGGUUUCAUAGCUUUGGAGAAGAUUGCCUCCUUUUAAUGUUUCAUUGGAGGACUGUGAGAUAGUAGUAAUUUUAGGAAGGUGGUAGUUCUGUUUGUUUUACAUUGAAAACUUCAGAAUAAAUAAAGAGGAACAUCAACUGAGGUGGAAAUGUAACUGGAAAACUACCAAUGAAUCCAUUUCUGACCAGGCUCUAGAUACAGCACAGGAAAAUAUGCAGAGGGAUAUUUUCAUGGGGAUGGAGCUGUAAAGAAACUUAGCAAACAUCAGAGAAAUCAGGUACGUACUUUCUAAAUCAAGAGAGCACACUUUGCUCUAACGAUCCAUUUGGGAGUUAGAUGCUCCCUGUGAUUGGGUGAUAUGAGGCCCAACAUAAUAGUACAAACUAAUUUCUGAGCAACUAAGAAAAGCUGGUGUUAAUUUUACAUCACUAAAGCACAGGUACUGUGAAGUACUGAAUUUUCUCUUUCCAAAACGAUUUAAGAGGAAUGAAGAAGGUUUUCCCCUCCUCUUUCCAGUGAUGCGCUUUGUUAAUAUUUUCUUCCCCACACGUCUCAGAAUUCUUUUUACAUUUGCAGAUGGGAAGAGCAGAGGUUAAUUUACCUCAGCAGGCUUGAAUAUAAAUCCCACUUGUGUUGUGAAUGGUUGUCUCUCUCUAUUUCCUCUGACACAGUGGGCGCAUCUACAUGAGAUGCUACUGUGCAGUGGUUAUUGCACAUUUUUUUAGUACUUGUAUAAGCAAGUACUUAAUAAAUGCACAGUAACCAGUUAAUGGGCAGUAGCACCAACUAACUUCUUUUAAGUGACACUACUGCGCAGUAUCAUCUCAGCACAGUUUUUACCAUGUAAUGCUACUGCACAGUAGUAUCAGGCUGCUGUGCAAUCAGCAUCUUGGGUAGAUGCACCCAGCAGACUAAGACAGGGAGGAUUAGCUGGGAGAAACGGUACUAUUAUUUAUCAUUAGAGCAAAAGACUAGGAGUUAGAAAUUCUGGGUACUUUUUUUGUCUCUGUUACAUCGUCUCUCUGUGCUAGAUCAUAAACCCCUUCAGAGUGGUGAAUAGUUACCCAUCCAAAUAGUAUUUCUGAAGUAAGUUUACUCAUGUGAGUAGCUGAUCACAAAUGGAUGGAAAGAAUUCAUGAUCUGAUUCUCUGUGACCUAGUUAUUAUUAUCUGUUAAGUAGCCUUUACUUAACUAGGUAUGUAGGCUGCUGUCAUGAUGUGCAACAUUUGUAAAAUGCUUGUGUCAUUGGAUAAAAAGUGUGGCAGAAGUGGAGAUUAUUAGCAGACACCUCAGUCUGCCUUGAUUAUACAUAAAGUUGUGUGAAGUAUGUUUCCUUUUCAUCUGCUUCAGGUACCCGGUCAGGGAUGGGUAUACUCUGAGCUGAUUCCAUCCUCCAGUUUAUUGCAGUCCCAUUCCUCUCAAGCAUCAAAAGAAACUAUCAUAUUUUAUUUAAAAGAUUAUUUAUUUUAAUUGAAAUUUAGGUAAAAAUUACUGUCAGCAGUUACUUUUGCAUUUCAGAUCACAGUUUACAGCUCUUUGAAUUCUGCAUGUUUGAAGGAAAAAGAAGUGCUUAGGAUAAGCUGAACUUGAAUUAAAUCAUGUAGGCAGGUAACAGAUUGAAUUUGCAGUAUGGCUCGUUUUGUGAGGAAAGUCAGUCAAGUGAUGAGUAAUGCUGAGCCAACUUGCAUCACAACAGGAGGUGGUGCAGUUUUAGUGCAAGAUAUUGUGGUUCACUGCAUCUUAAUUAUGGACCAGUUCUUCCAACUUGAGGGAUGAUGGUUCUGAAAAAUAAAUGCAUUUUCAAUAUGUAUAAACUCUAUGGUUCCCAAUCACGUAAUUAUGAUAAACCUGGUACAAAUGCUGGAAUUUUCAGUAGCACUUAUUCAUAACUUGCAGAUUAUUACUUACAAAGUCACAAUUUUACCUUUUAUUUAAAAAUAUACUUUUUUUCUGCUACUGUGUGAUGGAGGGUGCGGGGAGGGGGUGGGCAGGGGCAGUGAGAAGGAAGGUCUGUUGUGUAGUGAGGUCUGAAAGUCAGAAUGCCUGGAGUUUAUUCACAGCUGAACUACCAAUUUUCUUUUUGAUCCUAGAAAAAUCACUCCACUGUUCCUCUGACAAGUUAUCCUAGCCCAAGAAAGCUGCAGAGUAUGUACAUGCUGUGAUACUCCUUUUUGUUUAACUGGAAAUGCUUUUACACCUUAACUAGCUAUCAGAACACAAUGGGUCAACAGGAUUGUUCUCUUUAUCAUGGAGCACACCUGAACUCUCUGCUAAGGUAGUGCCUAUGAUUUCUUAGCAAAUAUUCAACCCAGUAGGGAGCUGCAGAACUCACCUCCAUCUUCCAAGGGUUAACAGUAACCUAUAAUAAUAAUUUUGUGACACAAAAAAUGCUUCUUUUUAUGCAUUACCUAUUUCCAGAGGCCUAAUUUAGGUUUUGUAUCAAAAUGGAUAUCACAAACUCUCUAGCUUCCUGCUGAGAAGGAAAGUGCUAUUGAGAGUCUUCUCUCUCUCUUUUUCUUAUGGUGGCAUCUGGGAGGGGUGAGGGAACAAGGAAGCAAUUGCUCAUAUCACUAGUAGUAAGUAUAAAUAGUGGUGUAGAGUGGGCUGCAAAGGUAAAAUAGUUUGACAGAACUGUUAUAUCAAGGCCUGACCCCUUUUUAUGUUGUAUUUGAGGCAAAAUUUACUCUUCUAGCAAAGAAAAAAGCUGAAUCUGUUGCAUAAAUUUAUGUUUUAACCACACAGACAUUACAUGUACUAUUUAAAUUAGGUAAACACUGUGAUAUAGUAUGAUGGGAUUACAUAUAUUUAUGGAUAAAUACACACAGAUAAUUACAUCCAGUGAUAGUUUAAUGUACAUGUCUCUUUUACAGGUUCAUAAAUUCAAAGACACUCAGAGUCAGGUUCUGUUGCAGAGCCAGAUGAAACUUGUUUCACUGAAGAAAUGGGUUUUUUUUUGUUGUUGAAAAUGUUUAACUUUUGAUUGCAUUAAAAAAACCUUAGAAAUCAAAACCAGAAAUUCUUUUAUUGAAAAUAUUUUUAUUUUUUAAAACAAAAAAUGUUGACUGAAAACAUUAUUUUAACACCCUUCUAGGAAACAGAAUGGUAUGGUUUUUAGAUUGAUUUUUAUUGGGGAAAAACAAUAAUUUUGUGGGAAAUUUAAAUGAAGAAAAAAACCCAUUAAAAUAUACUUACUGGUUGAUAUUCUUUGACCAGCUGUUUUCCACUGUUAACACCAAUUUGUUUCACCUGCAGACCCCUAUUCUAUGCCUGGCUUCCGGACUUUUGCUUAUAGCGGUGGACUUUGGAGUGUGAAGUUCUUAUUUGGCAAUCUGUUGUUCCCUGUUCAACCAGUUGGUCACAUAGUUCACUCUUAUUUUCUCUUUGUGAGGUUGGAAAAGGAGCCUAAAACUAUUCAAACCGUCCCCAGGAAAGUUAUUCUCCUCUUUUUUCGUCAGUGCUUUUUAAAAAAGGGUUCUUGGAGUUCAAGAUCUUACCACUGUUUGAAUUUGGCAAAUUCAAACAAAUUGAAGGGUUGAAAUAUGGGAUGUAUGAGUUCAUGGCGCUCACCUGGCCUGUUUUAGGCAAUAUAGGCUGUGUGAAUAUAGGCUGUAUAUCUAGGCUGAGUGAAUACUUUGGGCACAUAGCUUUCCGUACUAGGUUUUUUCAUUUGUAAAUACUGUGAUGCUGCUAUUAGAAUGCCUCAGUUGGACCACGUACUUUGUCUGUGCCUCUGUUUCAUUUACAGUGCCCUCUGGACACUGAUAGGAAUAAUUUUGCACAGC